UCCAUCUCCACCUCCUUCUUCUUCUCCUUCUCCUUGUCCUUCUUUCUUCUUGGAUAUAUUGUGAGCUGAGGAGCUGAUUGGUCUGUCAGUCAGAUCCAUGAACACACACUGACAGUAUCUACCUGUCUGUAUCUCACCUGUCUGUCUGUAGGUCCCUGACUACUAUGACAUCAUCAAGAAGCCGAUCGCUCUCAGCACCAUCAGAGAGAAAGUCAACAACUGUGAAUAUCAGACAGCAGCUGAGUUCAUCGCUGACGUGGACCUGAUGUUCUCCAACUGUCUUCAGUAUAAUCCUCGUCACACUAACGAGGCGAAGGCGGGACAUCGCCUGCAGCAGUUCUUCCAAUCAGAGCUCAGCAAGCUCGGUCUAUCAGAGCGCAGCCCGGCCCCGCCCGCCAAACGCUCCCGACACUGAACCAAACGCACCCCUCUGACCUCAACGCCGUCCACUCUGCUGAUUGGUCCAGGGACGAGGCAUGUUCCCUCCCGAUGCUCCUUCAUGACCUUUGACCCCCGCCACCUGUCGGUCAGAACCAGCUGACAAUCAAAAUGUUUCAUCAGCGACGUGACUGCAGAGUUCAAAGGUCAUGAAGUCCAAAAUUAAAACACCUUCUUAGACUCUGAGCUCACCUGGUCUGUCAGACCAAAUAAAGUUACAGUCUGGAAUCUGAGCUCACCUGAGAUGGACCCUUAUUUCCUCUCACCUGAUGACAUCAUCACAUGAUCACAUGACCUGGCGCUUCAUCCUUUAAAAACCAAACCCUGUGUUAAAGUUUCACUGUGAGUUCAUGAAACUGUAGAAAAGUUGUGGAGUGUGUUUCCUGCGACCUGCUGACGUUCAGGGCAUUAACUUCCUGUUUGUGUUUGUGGACAGACGGACAUGUAGCAGACAUUCCUGUGGUGCUGUAGGACAGUAGAGACAGUAGAGACAGAGACAGUAGAGUCUACUCAGUUAGAAAAGUAAAAACCACUAAACAGAGUUCAGCUUUGCACUGACAAUUUAAAAAAAAAACUCCCAUCAGGCCGUUUGUUUUUCGCUCAGGGACAAAAAAAAAUUGAUUUGAAUAAAAAGAUAUUUUCUAACAGUGCAGCUGGUUUUUACUGACACAGAGCAUCACCAUGGCAACACGGUUUCAGGCUAAAUAUCAAACCUAAAAUUAAAAUAUGUGCACGUGAUGCGUUCACCAAAACAAAAUCAUCUCCAGCUGUUAAUGAGCCUUAAAGGGACGGUUCACAACCUCCUCUCGUCUGUCACUCAUGUCUCAGGAUGACCUUAGCUUAGCUUAGCUUAGCAUUGAGACUGGAGCACAAGGUGUGAGACAAUGUAGAAAGUAAAACAUGUGGAACUGUCCCUUUAAAAGCCUGAGCCUGGGGCCUCUGUGGAUUUGUAGUUUUUGUAUUUUUGACUACUGUUUUCCCGCUUUAGGCUGUUUUUGUUUGACUCCUUCUUCUGUGGUGUUAGUGUGACUGCUGCAGCUCAGUCAGAGUGCGUGUGUGAGCGUGUGGUUGUAUGGGUGUGUGCGUGUGUGUGUGCAGCUGUACACUACACUGGAGUCGCUGCAUAUUUAUUUAGUUGUGCGUUUUCUUUAUUUAUGACUGAUAGGCGCUUCCUGAUGCUGUUUGUUGUUCUCAUGUAAAAAAUAAAUGGACUUUUAUAACCAGC